CACGUAAGCCUCGAGCGUUGUUCGGAAUUAUUGGGCGUAAAGGGUAUGUAGGCGGUUCUGAAAGCCUGUCGUGAAAGGCGGGGGCUCAACUCCCGGACUGCGAUGGGAACUGCAGGGCUUGAAUUGCUGAAGGGCAGCCAGAAUUCCAUGUGUAGGGGUGAAAUCUGUAGAUAUGUGGAAGAAUACCAAUGGCGAAGGCAGGCUGCCGGCAGAUGAUUGACGCUGAGGUACGAAAGUGCGGGGAGCAAAC
rnacentral:rRNA from 1 species